rnacentral:rRNA from 1 species
AGUCGAGGGAGANUAUCGGAUUCGUCUGAUAUGAAACCGGCGCACGGGUGCGUAACACGUAUGCAACCUACCUUUAACUGGGGUAUAGCUCAGAGAAAUCUGAAUUAAUCCCCCAUAACACUACGACAUGGCAUCAUGAUGUAGUUAAAGCUCCGGCGGUUAAGGAUGGGCAUGCGGUACAUUAGCUAGUUGGUGAGGUAAUGGCUCACCAAGGCUACGAUGUAUAGGGGGUCUGAGAGGAUGAUCCCCCACACUGGUACUGAGACACGGACCAGACUCCUACGGGAGGCAGCAGUAGGGAAUAUUGGUCAAUGGACGCAAGUCUGAACCAGCCAUGCCGCGUGAAGGAUGAAGGCCCUCUGGGUCGUAAACUUCUUUUAUUAGGGAAGAAACCUCAGGAUGCGUCCUGAGCUGACGGUACUUAAUGAAUAAGGAUCGGCUAACUUCGUGCCAGCAGCCGCGGUAAGACGAAGGAUCCAAGCGUUGUCCGGAUUUACUGGGUUUAAAGGGUGCGUAGGCGGAAAAUUAAGUCAGUGGUGAAAGCCCGCAGCUCAACUGUGGAACUGCCAUUGAAACUGGUUUUCUUGAAUAUAGCUGAGGCAGAUGGAAUAUAACAUGUAGCGGUGAAAUGCUUAGAUAUGUUAUAGAACACCGAUUGCGAAGGCAGUCUGCUAAACUAUUAUUGACGCUGAGGCACGAAAGCGUGGGGAGCGAACAGGAUUAGAUACCCUGNUAGUCCACGCCCUAAACGUUGAUUACUCGCUGUUGGCGAUAUACUGUCAGUGGCUAAGCGAAAGCAUUAAGUAAUCCACCUGGGAAGUACGACCGCANNGUUGAAACUCAAAGGAAUUGACGGGGGCCCGCACAAGCGGAGGAGCAUGUGGUUUNAUUCGAUGAUAC